rnacentral:lncRNA from 1 species
GACCAGAAACUGGUAUGUAUAUCUUGAGUUCAGUGAAUUUUAAAUAUUCUUUAGUUAGCACAAAGCUUUUAUUCUUUGCAGAACAAUGUUGGAAACUAACAUUAGUCAUGUAACCUUUGAAAUCACAGCACUGUAAAAAAGAAAAUUGAAUAUAAAUUAUUUCUUAGACUCCCAUUUUUACAGUUUAAAUACUAAAGUAUGAGAAACUCAAUUUGAUAUACUCUGACUAGAUUAUCACUCCAUGAUGCAGAUUUCAAGGACACUGUUAUGAUAAAAAGUGCACAUUAAUUCAAGACACAUCUCACACUUCCCAAUAUGUGAUUUAUGGUUUAAAAUAUUCGUUGCUCUUUUGCUGAAUUUUUAAUGGCUUUAUUUUAACUAUUUUCAUAGCUGUAGAUUUCAUUUGGAUGCAAACACAAAAUUUUAUAUAUUUCUUGGAAAGUAAGUGGAAAUGGGGGAGAAGAGUUUUUGAUGAUACUCUGAAAUUCUCCCUAUGAAACCUCAACAAAAAAUAUCAGUAUCUAAUAUCAUCUUAAUUAUUAUAUACAAUUAAAAUAUGUAACAAAAUUGAUAAAUAUACAGCGAAAAAGUGAGAGAAACACGAAGAAUAGUUGAGUUUAGCUAAUUUAUUUAAUUUAUGAAAAACUAAUACACAAGAAUUAAAUUGUGGCAAGAAUGAUUGUACUGAUUAAUAAAUAUCAUUCAAGAGGUGAGCAAGCUCUGUACUAUACAAGCAAAGAAGCAAAGUGUAUUGACAAGCAAACUUGACAAUAUAUCACAUAUACUGUUUAUGUUAUCAUAUGCUUAGCGAAACACAGAAACACACACACACAGAAACUCAGUAAAUUAUGACAAAUUUCUAAUGAUAGACUAGUCUCUGGUAUAAAAAUAAUGUAACAAAUUAAGAAAUAACAUAUGCAAAAAGAAGAAACUAAAACUAUAAUUCCAGAUUAUUUAGAAAAUAGCAGU